rnacentral:lncRNA from 1 species
GGACUCCAUACCAUAAAAAGUUAAAAUAGCAAAAAUGCUAAUAGAUUCCUCAGAAAUUAAGUAUUUUAACUUUAGUUCUCAUAAGUUAAAAUUUGAGUUUUUUAGUCAAUUUUGGCAUUUAUUUCGCACCAAAACGUCUCCAACUCAAUCAAACAAUAUAAAAAAUAAUAUAUAUUGACUAAAAAUUUUCACUGUAAUCUUGCCUACUUAUUAAGAUUCAGUAUAUCAUACGUCAUUAACUAAUUCAAAUCAAACAAAUUAAAAGACUAGACGGUAAAAUUAAAAUUUUUAAAAAAUAGAUACUCGAUCCAAAUUGGUUCUUACCCAGAUAAAUUCCGUACAUUUUUUUUUAUACCUACACUAAAAUUUAAGAAUCAAAACAAACAUAAUUCAACUUUUUUCCUUUUU